UACGUAGGGGGCAGGCGUUGUCCGGAAUCAUUGGGCGUAAAGAGCGUGUAGGCGGCCCGGUAAGUCCGCUGUGAAAGUCCAGGGCUCAACCCUGGGAUGCCGGUGGAUACUGUCGGGCUCGAGUCCGGAAGAGGAGUGUGGAAUUCCUGGUGUAGCGGUGAAAUGCGCAGAUAUCAGGAGGAACACCGGUGGCGAAGGCGGGUCUCGUGGGCCGUAACUGGACGCUGAGGAGCGAAAGCAUGGGGAGCGAACAGG
rnacentral:rRNA from 1 species